GUGCCUUCCGAAAACUACAUUGAGCUCGGAUUUGGGGGGCAGGAACUGGAGAUCUAUAGUGCGGCUUCUGAAGACUAGGCCUUGAGGGAAAAUGCAAGGUUUCUGAAAUUGUAGACUGGGACUACCAGAAUUCCCCUAGAGGAGAAAUUCUGAGAUAAAUUGGGGAGUUGGAGUGCAGGAAAUCCAAAUGCCACAUUUUCUCUUAAUGGGGUAACAUGGUAGCAUUAUGGCUUCCAUCUAUAAACACCUGAAUUAGAUUCUCCCUUCCAAGGCAAUGGAACUCAUGACUGAGGUUAGGGCUGGUGUCCCAACUGUUACUCUAAAAAGCUUCUGCUCUGUUGUUAAAGGUGACAGAUGAAGGUCGACCUUUGAUCAACACCCAUGGAAGGAGAGGCUUUUCUUAAGGAUAAACAGAAGCAGCUGCAAGCAGGAGCCAACCAAAAAGAGGAUGAUGCAAAUGAUUAUUUUUUUCCCCUUAUACAGGCUCUUCGGAAUCUAGAAGAUGAGGGAAAAGAGGAGGAAGUAAGACUCCAAGGGACAUUGCCAGAAAGAGGGGAGGAUGAAAAUGAGAACUGUUGGGAAGGAAAUGAAUCCCUGAAGCAGAAUCGGGCACACCAGAGGAGAGACAUAUCUCACAGAUAUCCGAGCGGUAUUGCCUCUGAAGACGAAAUGGGAAAAACAACAAACAGGAGCAUCAGUGCUCUUCGAAGCUCAGAGUAUCAACAAAACAUCCCGCUGAGGAAAGGUCCAGUGAAAUGUCCAACAUGUCACACUGAGAUAAAUCUGUGUCACUGUUUGGAGGAUGGAGAAAGUUUCAGAUGGAGCCCGGAAGAGACAAGAUUUCACACAGGGAAGAAACACAAAUGCUUUAGCUCUGACUUUAAAGCACCUCAACCAAUGCAUUCUCAAGGGAAAGGUUGUAAGUGCACAGAGUGUGGCAUGAGCUUCAAGAGAAGUUCAGAACUUGAAAGACAUCAAAGAAUACACACAGGAGAGACAGCAUACAAAUGUCUUCAGAUGCAAUUCACGUCUUCAAGUACAUCAGCAAAUUCAUACAGGAGAGAAACCUUAUAUAUGCAAAGAAUGUGGGAAAUGUUUGAGUCGUUCCUCAGCUUUUAAUGUACAUGAGUGCCAACAUUCAGGGGAGAAACCAUAUUCUGGUGAAGAAGUUCGGAAAUGCUUCUUCCAGCGCCUUCAGCAACAAAUUUAUACAGAAAAGAAACCCCAUCAAUGCAAUGAAUGUGGGAAAAAGUUCAGCCAGAAGGGACACCUUGUAGUACAUCAGCGAAUUCAUACAGGAGAGAAACCCUAUAAAUGUGAAGAAUGUGGGAGGAGUUUCAACCAAAUCGGAAACCUUAUAAUACAUCAACGAAGUCAUACAGGAGAGAAACCCUAUAUAUGCAAAGAAUGUGGGAAAUGUUUCAGUCAUCCUUCAGCUUUUAAAGUACACCAGCGCCGGCAUUCAGGGGAGAAGCCAUAUUCUUGUAAUCUAUGUGGGAAAUGUUUCUUCCAGAGCAGUGAACUUCAAGUACACCAGCGAAUUCAUACUGGAGAGAAACCCUAUAAGUGUAAAGAAUGUCAAAAAUGUUUCAGUCAUUUCUCAAAUUUCAGAGUACAUCAGCGCUCCCAUUCAGCGAAGAAACCUUAUUCUUGUCAAGAAUGUGGGAAAUGUUUCUACCGGAGCAGUGAUCUUCAAGUACACCAGCGAAUUCAUACAGGAGAGAAACCCUAUGAGUGUAAAGAAUGUGGGAAGAGUUUCAGACAAAUUUCAAAUCUUGUAAUACAUCAACGAAUUCACUCAGGAGAAAAGCCCUAUAGAUGUGAAGAAUGUGGAAAAUCUUUCAGUCGUUCCUCAAAUUUUAAAGUACAUCAGUACUGUCAUUCUGAGAAGAAGCCAUAUUCUUGUAAAGAAUGUGGGAAAACGUUCUGCCAGAGCAGUGAUCUUAGCCUUCACCAGCAAAAUCAUACACAAAAGAAACCCCAUCAGUGCAGUGAAUGUGGGAAAAAGUUUAGCCAUAAGUCUAACCUUGUAGUACAUCAGCGAAUUCAUACAGGAGAGAAACCCUAUAAAUGUGAAGAAUGUGGGAGGAGUUUCAACCAAAUCGGAAACCUUAUAAUACAUCGACGAAUUCAUUCAGGAGAAAAACCUUAUCAUUGCAAAGAAUGUCGGAGAAGCUUCAGAACUCGUUCAGCCUUUACAUGGCAUCGAAAAAUUCAUGCUGGGGAGAAAUCAGAUAAAUGUUAAUAAUAUUGGAAAAAUCUCUGUAGAAGUAAAGAUCUUGUAGAACACAAAUAAUUAACCUUGGGGAGAAUCCCUAUCCGUGCAAAGAAUGUGGAGUAAGCUUCUGUUGUAAUGCUCAAAACAUCAGACAUCAACAGAUGCACAGAGAGGGGAAACUUUGAAACGUGCAGGAAAUGAACUUCUUGAUCUUCAUCCAUAUGUCCAGUCAGGGAAGAAAACAUACGGAGGGUCAUUCUACAGGGAGAGCUGUGGUGUUGAAUGAAGCUAUUGUGACCCUAUGAAUGUACCUCAGAAAGAAACCUUAUGGUGGCUUCAAAGGGCAUCAUCCCCUCAGCUUCAUUGAAUUCGCUUUCUUUGAUGACGCCACAAAACUCACAUUCCUAAUGGCAUUUUAGAACAAUAAGUGGAUAAUUAACAAGCAUGAUGCUCUGGAUGAGCUUUUGACGGUGGGAACGCCAUUACAGAAAGAAGUCAUGAUUUGUGCAACUUCCCUCCUUGUGUUCUGUGAUGUUUUGAUUGUUUUAAUCUUUGAUUGUUUUUAUUUUACUGAAAUGGUUUUAACAUGAUUCUAACUUCAUUACUGUAUGAAAGUUUCCUUGGAACUGAAAUAAAUGUUCAGACUGGAAUGAGGACUCUUCGGAU
rnacentral:lncRNA from 1 species